rnacentral:rRNA from 1 species
GUCUACAGCCAUGCCACCCUGAACAAGCCCGAUCCCGUCUGAUCUCAGAAGCUAAGCAAGGUCAGGCCUGGUUAGUACUUGGAUGGGAGACCACCUAGGAAGACCAGGUGCUAUAAGUG